rnacentral:rRNA from 1 species
GCGCCAGACUUUGAUUAUGGCUCAGGAUGAACGCUAGCUACAGGCUUAACACAUGCAAGUCGAGGGGCAGCAUGGUCUUAGCUUGCUAAGGCCGAUGGCGACCGGCGCAUGGGUGAGUAACACGUAUCCAACCUGCCGUCUACUCUUGGACAGCCUUCUGAAAGGAAGAUUAAUACAAGAUGGCAUCAUGAGUCCGCAUGCUCACAUGAUUAAAGGUAUUCCGGUAGACGAUGGGGAUGCGUUCCAUUAGAUAGUAGGCGGGGUAACGGCCCACCUAGUCUUCGAUGGAUAGGGGUUCUGAGAGGAAGGUCCCCCACAUUGGAACUGAGACACGGUCCAAACUCCUACGGGAGGCAGCAGUGAGGAAUAUUGGUCAAUGGGCGAGAGCCUGAACCAGCCAAGUAGCGUGAAGGAUGAUUGCCCUAUGGGUUGUAAACUUCUUUUAUAAAGGAAUAAAGUCGGGUAUGCAUACCCGUUUGCAUGUACUUUAUGAAUAAGGAUCGGCUAACUCCGUGCCAGCAGCCGCGGUAAUACGGAGGAUCCGAGCGUUAUCCGGAUUUAUUGGGUUUAAAGGGGGCGUAGAUGGAUGUUUAAGUCAGUUGUGAAAGUUUGCGGCUCAACCGUAAAAUUGCAGUUGAUACUGGAUAUCUUGAGUGCAGUUGAGGCAGGCGGAAUUCGUGGUAUAGCGGUGAAAUGCUUAGAUAUCACGAAGAACUCCGAUUGCGAAGGCAGCCUGCUAAGCUGCAACUGACAUUGAGGCUCGAAAGUGUGGGUAUCAAACAGGAUUAGAUACCCUGGUAGUCCACACGGUAAACGAUGAAUACUCGCUGUUUGCGAUAUACUGCAAGCGGCCAAGCGAAAGCGUUAAGUAUUCCACCUGGGGAGUACGCCGGCAACGGUGCAACUCAAAGGAAUUGA